GGCCUCUUUAGGGUUAUAUGAUAAAAUUGGAACAAUACGGAGAAGAUAUUUAAGGUCUUGCGCAAGGAUGAGAUGUGCAAAGGCCUUAGCUAGCUUA
rnacentral:snRNA from 1 species